rnacentral:rRNA from 1 species
CCCUUAGAUGUUCUGGGCCGCACGCGCGCUACACUGAUGCAUUCAACGAGCCUAUCCUUGACCGACAGGUCCGGGUAAUCUUUGAAUCUGCAUCGUGACGGGGAUAGAUUAUUGCAAUUAUUAAUCUUCAACGAGGAAUGCCUAGUAGGCGCAAGUCAUCAGCUUGCGUCGAUUACGUCCCUGCCCUUUGUACACACCGCCCGUCCCUCCUACCGAUUGGGUGUGCUGGUGAAAUGUUCGGAUCGGCCGUUUGUCGCGGUUUCCGCGUCAUGUGGCUGAGAAGUUCAUUAAACCCUCCCACCUAGAGGAAGGAGAAGUCGUAACA